CAGCAGCCGCGGGAAUACGGAGGGUGCAAGCGUUAAUCGGAAUUACUGGGCGUAAAGCGCACGCAGGCGGUCUGACAAGUCAGAUGUGAAAUCCCCGGGCUUAACCUGGGAACUGCAUUUGAAACUGUCAGGCUGGAGUCUUGUAGAGGGGGGUGGAAUUCCAGGUGUAGCGGUGAAAUGCGUAGAGAUCUGGAGGAAUACCGGUGGCGAAGGCGGCCCCCUGGACAAAGACUGACGCUCAGGUGCGAAAGCGUGGGGAGCAAACAGGAUUAGAGACCCCUGUAGUCCCUGUCUCUUAUAC
rnacentral:rRNA from 1 species